AUUGAACGCUGGCGGCAGGCCUAACACAUGCAAGUCGAGCGGAUGAAGGGAGCUUGCUCCUGGAUUCAGCGGCGGACGGGUGAGUAAUGCCUAGGAAUCUGCCUGGUAGUGGGGGAUAACGUCCGGAAACGGGCGCUAAUACCGCAUACGUCCUGAGGGAGAAAGUGGGGGAUCUUCGGACCUCACGCUAUCAGAUGAGCCUAGGUCGGAUUAGCUAGUUGGUGGGGUAAAGGCCUACCAAGGCGACGAUCCGUAACUGGUCUGAGAGGAUGAUCAGUCACACUGGAACUGAGACACGGUCCAGACUCCUACGGGAGGCAGCAGUGGGGAAUAUUGGACAAUGGGCGAAAGCCUGAUCCAGCCAUGCCGCGUGUGUGAUGAAGGUCUUCGGAUUGUAAAGCACUUUAAGUUGGGAGGAAGGGAAGUAAGUUAAUACCUUGCUGUUUUGACGUUACCAACAGAAUAAGCACCGGCUAACUUCGUG
rnacentral:rRNA from 1 species